rnacentral:rRNA from 1 species
GAUGAACGCUGGCGGCGUGCCUUAUACAUGCAAGUCGAGUGGGUUUAGACCCACGGCAAACGGGUGAGUAACACGUAGGUACUUUCCUUGUCACAGGAAUAACCCUCCGAAAGGAGGGCUAAUACCUGAUGUGAUCGCAAGAUUAAAGGGUAUCCGCAAGGAUUACCGGACAAGAAGAGGCCUGCGGCCUAACAGCUAGUUGGCGGGGUAAAUGCCCACCAAGGCUAUGACGGGUAGCUGGUCUUAUGAGGAUGAUCAGUCACAUGGGCACUGAGACACGGGCCCAACUCCUACGGGAGGCAGCAGUAGGGAAUUUUGCGCAAUGGGCGAAAGCCUGACGCAGCGACGCCGCGUGCGGGAUGAAGGCCUUCGGGUCGUAAACCGCUUUUAUAAGGGACGAACUUUGACGGUACCUUAUGAAUAAGAGGUUGCUAACUCUGUG